UGACAGUAGUUCCUGUUGUUGAACAUUACAAUGUUUUACGACAUUUUAGAAUUGUCAUAAAUUAAAAUUGACUAUCUUCACCCUGUAUUUUUCAAGUUGGAUAAAAUAUUGGUUUUGCAAAGUCAUACAUCA